rnacentral:rRNA from 1 species
GACGAACGCUGGCGGCGUGCUUAACACAUGCAAGUCGAACGGAAAGGCCCUGCGUUUGUGUGGUGCUCGAUUGGCGAACGGGUGAGUAACACGUGAGUAACCUGCCCUUGACUUUGGGAUAACUUCAGGAAACUGGGGCUAAUACCGGAUAUGAGCUUCUGCAGCAUGGUGGGGGAUGGUAAGAUUCGGUGGUUGGGGCUGGACUCGCUGGUUAUGAGCUUGUUAGUGGGGUAGUGGCGUUCCAAGGCUUUGACGGGUAGCCGACCUGAGAGGGUGACCGGGCACAAUAGGACUGAGAUACGCACCAGACUCCAACGGGAGGCAGCAGUGGGGAAUAUUACACAAUGGGGCGAAGCCAGAUGCAGCAACGCCGCGUGCGGGAUGACGGCCUUCGGGUUGUAAACAGAUUUCGCCGGUAACGAAGCGUGCGUGACGGUAAUGGGUAAAGAAGCACCGGCUAACUACGUG